UGUAAGUUAGUACUUAAUAGGGUGUCUGC
rnacentral:piRNA from 1 species